rnacentral:rRNA from 1 species
UACGUAGGGUGCAAGCGUUAAUCGGAAUUACUGGGCGUAAAGCGUGCGCAGGCGGUGAUGUAAGACCGAUGUGAAAUCCCCGGGCUUAACCUGGGAACUGCAUUGGUGACUGCAUUGCUGGAGUAUGGCAGAGGGGGGUGGAAUUCCACGUGUAGCAGUGAAAUGCGUAGAGAUGUGGAGGAACACCGAUGGCGAAGGCAGCCCCCCUGGGCCAAUACUGACGCCUCGAUGCACGAA